rnacentral:lncRNA from 1 species
AUCUUUUUGACAUAAUUUUUGCAUUGGUCUCAUAUGGUCGUAUGGUCAUUGCUUUCCUUCUUAACUUUCUGAACAGAGGCUGUUGCAAUUAGGAUGGCGAAUGGUGAAAAACAGUGUGGUUGAAUUGAACAUAAGCUGAAGGGCUAGACAUCAUGGCUUCAAUCCUUGUGGAGGUAAGAGAGCUGGGACAUCAGACAAAUGACUUGUGAAUUGCCACCUCCUGCAAAUCCUGUGGCCUAUGAUCUGGACCAAAUCACAUCCAAGUGUCUGAUCAGUUCUGAGAGUGGUUGUGGAUGACCUUAGUAUUCCAGAAGACUGGCUCUGAACGCACACUAGUGCAUCCACAAUGGGACAUCCAUGUGUAAAAAGGAGUGAGGAGCUGGGAUUCUUCAGUGGCCUCCAGCUUUCAUUCCAUACAGGAAUGGGCUCGUUCAUAUGCCUCUGAGAGAGUCAGCUUGGAGACAGGCAAGUCUGGGUUCAAAUCCUGGGUCCAUCCCUAGAUGGUUGAGUGUGGUUCCUUUAUCCUUUAUAACAGGGCCAAUACAUACUUCACUUGGCCUUUGUGAGGACUGGGGGACUGUCCACCUAAGGCAAAAUAAAGACAUCAUUUAUUCACAGUCUUCCUUAGUGAUGCACACAUGUGGCCUGAGAACUAACAUUGAUCUUAGCCUUAGGAUCCCUUCGUUCUACCACUGACAUUAACCCCCAUGUGAUCUUGUGCAUGUCAGUUUCCCUCUCUGAGUUUGAUUGACCCUUUAGUGAGAUUAAUCAAAAUUGAUCUCCAAGUCACUUUCAGCUUUAAAAAAUGCAAAGCUCUACAAAUCAUUCUGAUAUUGGCCCCAAAACCACCUCUUGGCACCUCCUUUGCUUCUCUGCAGUUUUAGGAUCCCCUUGUCUGAUUUCUUAUUCAACUCUGUAAGAUCAUAUCACCAGUCUAGCAACAUCCUGUCCCAUGCCAUUUUAUAAUUUCCUGUUUAAUUGCCUGUUUUGUACCCCUAGACUGUGAAUUACCUGAUGGCAGCAACUGUGUUUCAUUUGCCAUAGUGUUCCAAGUGUUUUGUCAAGGGCUUAAAACAUAGUCAUUGUUCAUUAAAUGCUUUUGUGGAUUAGGAUUAUUAAUUUAUUUACCACAACAUUAUUGAACAUACCUGUUGGCAACUAUAUUCUCUCUUCUAUGGGCAUUGAAAAUAGAGGAUUUCUUAAGUAUUUCUAAUGAUAUGAUUUCAGG